rnacentral:tRNA from 1 species
UCCAUAUUAGUCCAGUGGUUAGGAUGUCACGCUUUCACCGUGAAGACCCGGGUUCAAUUCCCGGAUAUGGAA